rnacentral:lncRNA from 1 species
UUGGAUUUAUUUUUUAAUUCUAAAAGUUAUUGCAAAUAAAGUAAACAAAGUAAUUGAAUGAUUCAGAAGGAUAUGAGUAAUAUGCUAUGGAUAGUAUAUGAUUCAAUUCUGUGACAACUCUGAAUUAACAUUGCAACAACAUAUUUUAAAGAAUUGAUUACCGGUUCUUACGGGUGUUUAAUCCUAAGUCCUUAGUGAAAAAACCUUUAAU